UACGAAGGGAGCUAGCGUUGUUCGGAAUCACUGGGCGUAAAGCGCACGUAGGCGGAUGUGUCAGUCAGGGGUGAAAUCCCGGAGCUCAACUUCGGAACUGCCUCUGAUACAGCACGUCUUGAGUCCGAUAGAGGUGGGUGGAAUUCCUAGUGUAGAGGUGAAAUUCGUAGAUAUUAGGAAGAACACCGGUGGCGAAGGCGGCCCACUGGAUCGGUACUGACGCUGAGGUGCGAAAGCGUAGGGAGCAAACAGG
rnacentral:rRNA from 1 species